AGUCCAUCCCAGUUCAUCCCAGUCCAUCCCAGUAUGGCCCAGGGGCCUCCCAGUAACCCCCCAGUCCCUCCCAGUUCAUCCCAUGGCCUCCCAGUUCAUCCCAGUAUGGCCCCAGUGCUCCCAGUUCAUCCCAGUAUGGCCCAGUUCCCUCCCAGUUCUCCCUAAUUUCCCCCCAGUUCCCUCCCAGUUCAUCCCAGUUCAUCCCAGUCCCCUCCCAGUUCCCUCCCAGUCCCUCCCAGUUCAUUCCAAUAACCCCAAAUCAAUUCCCAGUAACUCCCAGUAUGGCCCAGUAUCCCACCAGUCCCACCCAGUUCCCUCCCAGUCCAUCUCAGUGCCCUCCCAACGGCUCCCAGUUCAUCCCAGUAUGGCCCAGUGCUUCCCAGUAACUCCCAGUCUGUUCAAAGAACCUCCCAGUAUGGCCCAGUUCCCUCCCAGUUCAUCCCAGUCCCUCCCAGUUCGCUCCCAGUUCCCUCCCAGUCCCUCCCAGUGUGUCCCAGUGCCUUCCAGUAACCCUCAGGAAUCUCCCAGUCUAUCCCAGUCCCUCCCAGUAUGGCCCAGUUCCUCCCAGUCCCUCCCAGUCCAUUGCAAUCUCUCCCAGUUCAUCCCAGUCCCUCCCAAUCCCUCCCAGUUUGAUCCCAGUCCAUCCCAGUCCCCUCCCAGUCCAUCCCAGUCCCCUCCCAGUCCAUCCCAGUUCCCUCCCAGUCCCCUCCCAGUCCAUCCCAGUCCCUCCCAGUCCCUCCCAGUCCCUCCCAGUCCCCUCCCAGUCCAUCCCAGUCCCUCCCAGUCCCUCCCAGUCCCUCCCAGUCCAUCCCAGUCCCCUCCCAGUCCAUCCCAGUCCCUCCCAGUCCAUCCCAGUCCCUCCCAGUCCCUCCCAGUUCAUCCCAGUUCCUCCCAGUCCCUCCCACCACCAUCACCCCUUUAAGCCCGGACCCCACCUCCCAUCGCCCCUUUAAAACCAUAGACGAGUCCUCCAAGCCGCCCAGCCCGCCUCUUAGCCCCGCCCACUUCCGGCGGCGCUCCGCCACACUUCCCCUUCUCUAUGGCCUAAAAAUGGCGGCGCCCACAAGUUUUUAAAAUGCCGGCGCCCUCACGGAGCGGCGGCUGCCGUAACUCGAGCCAGGUGUGCCCCAGGUGUGCCCCAGCUGUGCCCAGGUGUGCCCCAGCUGUGCCCAGGUGUGCUCCAGCUGUGCCCAGGUGUGCUCCAGCUGUGCCCAGCUGUGC